UUAUCUUCGUGCAAGUAUCUUGAAGCUAAGAUUUGGAGUGAGCUGCUGUAAAACAAAGUUAAAAUUGAGGCCCAUUAAUAAUAUCCACUGGCCCAACUUUAACAUUCUCUUAUUUUCUCCGUCACCAAGAAUCAAACAGAAGUCCCCUUUAUCUUCUUCUCCACACCGACAAACUCCAUCUUCGUUAACCUCCAAGUUUAUCCUUGCACCGAAUCUCCUUGCCGCUGCUUUGUCUGAACAGAACCCCAAAGCUUCUCGACUCCAAUAAACUCUUGUAUGUUUCCAUUGCGAUGACAAUCUCAUCGACUCUGCCGAGAUUCCGUUGUCGUGUCUUUAGAGCAUCAGCAUUGGAGGUUCAUUAGGGGGAUUCACACGUUUUUCAAGAAAAAGAAUAUUAUAAUAUGUAACAGUGAUGAUCCUGUCUCUCCAAACUCCUUCUGUAUGAACCUGGGUCGUUACUGUUCAGCGGCCCCACGCCACGUGGCGGCCCGCUAUUGGUCAAUUUUUUUUUUUUUAAAAAAAAUAACAAACAAAAAAUGAAAAAAAAAAUAAUAAAAAUUUUAAAUUAUGAACCCCAACCAGGGGUUCAUUAAUGCUGGUGCUCUUAGAGCCCCGAUUUACUGGAUGGUCAAAAAUAACUCGAUUCCAUACGCCUCCAGUGGCCAUAUUGUAUUCCUCCGAUGAAUUUAUCUCCGCGGAAUGCAUCUCCAUCUUCGAUUCAGUCAGCUUGAGAGAUAUUCACGACUCGCACUCAUACCUCCCUCCUUACCCGAGUAAAGCUUAUCCUUUCUAGUUUUGACUCACAUGUUAAUCCCGACAUGUAACUCCCAUUGACUUUUCUUGAGGGAAACAGUCUCACGAACCAAACAUGGAUCGAUAACUCAGCUUCCUAUUUGUCUCGAGCUUGGACAGCAAGCUCAGUCUCUUCCAAAGAAACUCAGGUACGUCUCUCUUUCUUC
rnacentral:lncRNA from 1 species